GUGGCAUGUUCUAACUCCUAGACUAGUGCUUUACCUUUAUUAAUGAACUGUGACAGGAAGCCCAAGGCAGUGUUCCUCACCAAUAACUUCAGAGAAGUCAGUUGGAGAAAAAUGAAGAAAAAGGCUGGCUGAAAAUCACUAUAACCAUCAGUUACUGGUUUCAGUUGACAAAAUAUAUAAUGGUUUACUGCUGUCAUUGUCCAUGCCUAUAGAUAAUUUAUUUUGUAUUUUUGAAUAAAAAACAUUUGUACAUUCCUGAUACUGGGUAAAAGAGCCAUGUACCAAUGUAUGGCUUUCAACUUAAAUCACUGAGGCAUUUUUACUACUAUUCUGUUAAAAUCAGGAUUUUUAGUGCUUGCCACCACCAGAUGAGAAGUUAAGCAGCCUUUCUGUGGAGAGUGAGAAUAAUUGUGUACAAAGUAGAG
rnacentral:lncRNA from 1 species